CUUGUAGAGAGCAGAGUUACCGAGAGCUUUGGGUUUGACGGGACCGCCGGUAACAGGCAGGCGGAAGCUUUUCCCUUGAAGGUUUCCGGGGGUGGGGAGAGAUCCAGAUGGAGGAGGAUCCUGUAGUGGGAGUCCAGGAGGCAGGUUCUUCCUCCACUGGAAGGUUUGGGGGAUUCUAUCCAUUGAGCUCUGAGAAAACUUGCUUUCCAUGGGCCACAGGGACUGAUCCAUGUGCCAAAGGAGUGAUGGAUUCUCCUUUCCCCAGCUCCCAAAGCAAAGACUUGUGAUAUGGCCAUUACCGCGUGACAAUGAUGUGCCCAGCCCGGGAGCGCCCCACUGCCCUCUGCUGGCUGUGCGCUGUCCUGCACGUCCACGCAUCGGAACCGACCCGUCCAGUCCGGGCUGCAAUAAGAAGAGAGGCGCGGCUGGAGCUCAGAGCGGGCUCUUUAUUCAAGCUGUGUUACCGAGUGACAGCGGGGCGGUGGGUGGCGCGGGGAGAACAGGCCAUAGGGGGUGGGGGAGAGAUCCCAGUGAUGGGGCAGGGAUCGGAGGGGGAGCCCAGCUGAUGGAGAGCUGGGUCGUGUGGGGCUCCCAUGCCAGGGCUGGA